GAUGAAGAACGUAGCAAAAUGCGAUACUUGGUGUGAAUUGCAGAAUCCCGUGAACCAUCGAGUUUUUGAACGCAAGUUGCGCCCGAAGCCUUUUGGCCGAGGGCACGUCUGCCUGGGCAUCACGCAUCGCGUCGCCCCCCACAAAUUCUCCUCAGGGGAGCUUGUGUUUCGGGGGCGGAUACUGGUCUCCCGUGCUCAUGGCGCGGUUGGCCGAAAUAGGAGUCCCUUCGAUGGACGCACGAACUAGUGGUGGUCGUAAAAACCCUCGUCUUUUGUUUCGUGCCGUUAGUCGCGAGGGAAGCUCUUCAAAAACCCCAGCGCGUCGUCUCUUGACGGCGCUUCGACCGCGACCCCAGGUCAGGCGGGACUACCCGCUGAGUUUAAGCAUAUCAAUAAGCGGAGGGA
rnacentral:misc_RNA from 1 species